UAAUUGACUUCUUAGUUAUUUUUUUUUUUUAUCGAUUCAUAUCUUUUGGAGAACUUGAUACUUAUUCGUUUAUGAUUCCUUAUACGUUGGUAAAGACAGAAACCUGACAAAGGUUUUGGACCUUUCUGACUUAAAUACAGUAUUUUGUAUUGUAAUGGCUUUGUUCCAAGAUUACCAGCUGUGACCUAAAUAUUUGUUCACGUCUGCCCACCUUCCCAUAGAGAUGAUGUGAAAACUAUUGACCAAUGAAAUAAUUUAGAUUGAAAAACUAUCAAUACAACAUUUACAUACUUAAGGAGGCGCUGUGGCUGAGUGGUAAAGCACUUGGCUUCUGAACCGAUGGAUCCUGGGGUCAAAGCCUGGGAUUUUUUAUUUCAGGAUGUUUAGGGUGCCUCGGAGUCCACCCAGCUCUAAUGGGUACUUUACAUUAUUGGGGAAAAAUUAAAGGCGGUUGGUCACUGUGCUGUCCACAUGACACCCUCUUAAACCAAGGGCCACUGAAACAGAUGACCUUUACAUUAUAUGCCCCAUAGAUCGCAAGGUUUGAAAAGGGAACUUAAGAUACUUUAGGGCUUAAUAAAAUACUAUUUGGCCUUCAAUCUAAACCUCAUAGCUGCUGAUGAAAACUGGUAGCGGUCUUUACAUGUGAUGUUCCAACUAUAAAUAACAAAUUUCAUCAUAUGAUAAACCUAAACAUGUACAUUAGUGUCAUACACGCAUAAAUUGUAAAAUCUGAUAUAAAUUUGAUGAAAAAAAAAAAAAAAAAAGAAA